rnacentral:lncRNA from 1 species
GCGGCGUCGAUGCUCAAGAAACCAGAAACUCGGCUUGAGGAGUUGCUGCUUUUUUGUCGGAAGGUCUUCAAAUGAGAGUAAAGCGUUAAGAGCCUCACUCCUGAGUCUUUUUUUUUUUUUAAGAUAAAAACUAUACUAGAGUCCAGCGACUUCUUACCACUCUGAAUAAAUGUUGCUGAAGUGCUGCUGAAAGGGCCAGAGAUGCAAGGAUUUGGGAUACAUUUUGAACCUUUAAGCUGUCUGACAUUGACCUCCUUUCAUUAUUAAUAAAGAAGAAUCAGGAGCUUAGGAUGUAUUAACACCAACUCAUUAAUAUACUAACCGGACAAUGUUCUACAAACAAUUCUACAUUGUAAAGGACUGGAUUGGCACAAAAUAAAAUAAUUUUAUUUUAUUCAGCUUAUAAUAUGACUCGAUGGAGGAAAAUUUGAUAAGCAUGAGAGAAGACCAUUCUUUUCAUGUUCGUUACAGAAUGGAAGCUUCUUGCCUAGAGCUGGCCUUGGAAGGGGAACGUCUAUGUAAAUCAGGAGACUGCCGCGCUGGCGUGUCAUUCUUUGAAGCUGCAGUUCAA